GUUGUAUGGUUAAGUGACUAAGCGUACACGGUGGAUGCCUUGGCAGUCAGAGGCGAUGAAAGACGUAGUAACUUGCGAUAAGCCCAGAUUAGGUAGUAACAACCAUUUGAGUCUGGGAUUUCUGAAUGGGGAAACCCACGUGCAUAAGCACGUAUCCUUACCUGAAUACAUAGGGUAAGGAGGCGAACCGGGGGAACUGAAACAUCUAAGUACCCCGAGGAAAAGAAAUCAACCGAGAUUCCGAAAGUAGCGGCGAGCGAAAUUGGACUAGCCCUUAAGCUUUACACGCGUUAGACGAACGGUCUGGAAAGUCCGACGAUACAGGGUGAUAGUCCCGUAGUUGACGACGUGUGUUCAGUGAAAUCGAGUAGGGCGGGACACGUGAUAUCCUGUCUGAAUAUGGGGGGACCAUCCUCCAAGGCUAAAUACUACUGACUGACCGAUAGUGAACCAGUACCGUGAGGGAAAGGCGAAAAGAACCCCUGUGAGGGGAGUGAAAUAGAACCUGAAACCGUGUACGUACAAGCAGUAGGAGCAGGCUUUGUCCUGUGACUGCGUACCUUUUGUAUAAUGGGUCAGCGACUUAUAUUCAGUGGCAAGGUUAACCAUCUAGGGGAGCCGUAGGGAAACCGAGUCUUAACUGGGCGUUCAGUCUCUGGAUAUAGACCCGAAACCAGGUGAUCUAGCCAUGGGCAGGUUGAAGGUUGAGUAACAUCAACUGGAGGACCGAACCGACUAAUGUUGAAAAAUUAGCGGAUGACUUGUGGCUAGGGGUGAAAGGCCAAUCAAACCUGGAGAUAGCUGGUUCUCCCCGAAAGCUAUUUAGGUAGCGCCUCGGACGAAUACUACUGGGGGUAGAGCACUGUUAAGGCUAGGGGGUCAUCCCGACUUACCAACCCUUUGCAAACUCCGAAUACCAGUAAGUACUAUCCGGGAGACACACGGCGGGUGCUAACGUCCGUCGUGGAGAGGGAAACAACCCAGACCGCCAGCUAAGGUCCCAAAUUACUACUAAGUGGGAAACGAUGUGGGAAGGCUCAGACAGCCAGGAUGUUGGCUUAGAAGCAGCCAUCAUUUAAAGAAAGCGUAAUAGCUCACUGGUCGAGUCGGCCUGCGCGGAAGAUGUAACGGGGCUAAGUAGUAAACCGAAGCUGCGGCAAUGCACUUUGUGCAUUGGGUAGGGGAGCGUUCUGUAAGCGGUUGAAGGUGUGUGGUAACGCAUGCUGGACGUAUCAGAAGUGCGAAUGCUGACAUGAGUAACGAUAAAGGGGGUGAAAAACCUCCUCGCCGGAAGACCAAGGGUUCCUGUCCAACGUUAAUCGGGGCAGGGUAAGUCGACCCCUAAGGCGAGGCCGAAAGGCGUAGUCGAUGGGAAACGGGUUAAUAUUCCCGUACUUCUUACAAUUGCGAUGGGGGG
rnacentral:rRNA from 1 species